rnacentral:rRNA from 1 species
UACGUAGGUGGCAAGCGUUGUCGGGAUUUACUGGGCGUAAAGGGCGUGCAGGCGGUUUGUUAAGUGCAGGGUGAAAGCUCCCGGCUCAACUGGGAGAGGUCCUUGCAUACUGGCGAACUCGAGGGAGGCAGAGGAAAGUGGAAUUCCCGGUGUAGUGGUGAUAUGCGUAGAUAUCGGGAGGAACACCUGUGGCGAAGGCGGCUUUCUGGGCCUUACCUGACGCUGAGACGCGAAAGCGUGGGGAGCGAACCGG